UGGUGAGAAAUUUCCUACUUCCUACCUUGC
rnacentral:piRNA from 1 species